rnacentral:rRNA from 1 species
UACGUAGGGGGCAAGCGUUGUCCGGAUUUAUUGGGCGUAAAGAGCGUGUAGGCGGUCCGGUAAGUCCGCUGUGAAAGUCGGGGGCUCAACCCUCGAAUGCCGGUGGAUACUGUCGGGCUAGAGUACGGAAGAGGCGAGUGGAAUUCCUGGUGUAGCGGUGAAAUGCGCAGAUAUCAGGAGGAACACCUAUUGCGAAAGCAGCUCGCUGGGACGUAACUGACGCUGAGACGCGAAAGCGUGGGGAGCAACAGG